rnacentral:rRNA from 1 species
AAAGAAUUUGGCGGUGUUUUAGUCUAGUUAGAGGAACCUGUUUUAUAAACGAUACAACACGCAUUAUCUUACUUGUUUUAGUAAUUCAGCUUGUAUACCGUCAUUAUAAGAUAAUUUAGUAUAAAAUAUUGUUAAAAUCGUAUUUUUGAGUAUAUUAGAUCAAGGUGCAGCUUAUGAAUAAGUAAAUAUGGGUUACAAUAAAAUUUAUUUAAUAUGAAUUAAGUAUUUAAAUAUAUUUAUGAAGGAGGAUUUAAUUGUAAGAAAAGAAAUAAUAAGAUUUUCUGAUAGAAGCUCUAAAUUAU